CAUGCAGUCGAGCGGACGGAUGGGAGCUUGCUCCCUGAAGUCAGCGGCGGACGGGUGAGUAACACGUGGGCAACCUGCCUGUAAGACUGGGAUAACUUCGGGAAACCGGAGCUAAUACCGGAUAAUUCUUUCCCUCACAUGAGGGAAAGCUGAAAGAUGGUUUCGGCUAUCACUUACAGAUGGGCCCGCGGCGCAUUAGCUAGUUGGUGAGGUAACGGCUCACCAAGGCAACGAUGCGUAGCCGACCUGAGAGGGUGAUCGGCCACACUGGGACUGAGACACGGCCCAGACUCCUACGGGAGGCAGCAGUAGGGAAUCUUCCGCAAUGGACGAAAGUCUGACGGAGCAACGCCGCGUGAGUGAUGAAGGUUUUCGGAUCGUAAAACUCUGUUGUUAGGGAAGAACAAGUACCGGAGUAACUGCCGGUACCUUGACGGUACCUAACCAGAAAGCCACGGCUAACUACGUGCCAGCAGCCGCGGUAAUACGUAGGUGGCAAGCGUUGUCCGGAAUUAUUGGGCGUAAAGCGCGCGCAGGCGGUUCCUUAAGUCUGAUGUGAAAGCCCCCGGCUCAACCGGGGAGGGUCAUUGGAAACUGGGGAACUUGAGUGCAGAAGAGAAGAGUGGAAUUCCACGUGUAGCGGUGAAAUGCGUAGAGAUGUGGAGGAACACCAGUGGCGAAGGCGACUCUUUGGUCUGUAACUGACGCUGAGGCGCGAAAGCGUGGGGAGCAAACAGGAUUAGAUACCCUGGUAGUCCACGCCGUAAACGAUGAGUGCUAAGUGUUAGAGGGUUUCCGCCCUUUAGUGCUGCAGCAAACGCAUUAAGCACUCCGCCUGGGGAGUACGGCCGCAAGGCUGAAACUCAAAGGAAUUGACGGGGGCCCGCACAAGCGGUGGAGCAUGCGGUUUAAUUCGAAGCAACGCGAAGAACCUUACCAGGUCUUGACAUCUCCUGACAACCCUAGAGAUAGGGCGUUCCCCUUCC
rnacentral:rRNA from 1 species